rnacentral:rRNA from 1 species
GAGACCUCAGGUCAGGCGGGGCUACCCGCUGAGUUUAAGCAUAUCAAUAAG